UCCCUAUUGGCUCAGAGGAUAAAGUGUCUGCCUGCAAUGUGGGAGACCUGGGUUCAAUCCCUGGAUCAGGAA
rnacentral:tRNA from 1 species